AGUAUCCGCAGUAUCCGCAGCCCCGCGCCCAGGAAAACGAGGAGUUCCUAGGACUGCGGAAAGCAAUGGGUGCCGAGAGGGCUGCAAACCCAGGGCGAGGCUUCCACGUGCCACCGCGUUGCCACUCUGGCGCGGCCCGUAGCCAAGGGCCGGAGGGGCGGGGGGCUUAGGUGGUGGCGUCCCCCUUCGAACGCCCUAGGAUGAUGCGACCUUAGCUCCCGGCUGGAAGUGGGGUGAAUGCUCGGUCGGGAGACGCCUCCUUUCACGCUCUAAGUUCUGAGGACGUAGUGACCCCAAAAGUCACUGGAGCGCCCUGAGUGCUGACGUCGGCUCCGCCUCUCCCCCUAAUCAGUAAAGCAGAGAAAGAACGUGAGGAAGCGGCCUUAACUCCUGUCCAGGUGCGGAGAUUCGGAGAUUCGAGGAGUCUUCUCCUCAGAGGAGGAGGGAUUAGCCCGCCUCAGAGACACCCCUUAGGUCCGCCUCCCACCCAUCCCCACCAGGUGUUUCAGCCAUCUUUCCUGUGUUCUUCCAUCAUCUGGUGUGAAAUCCCCCCCAGUCUGGGUGCUUCCUUGGUUCUUAGCAGUUUAUAUCUUCCUUCUCUUGCUCCCCUGCUCUCCAGUCCAGAAGAAACCACUGGAAAGUCCUGGAGCUCCAUGCUUGACAGAAGGUUGACAUGCUCUGGAGGGGACUAGUUUGGGUUCAAAAACCAAGUAACCAUCCUGGUCCCACAGAGACCACGUGUUCUGGAUGGUGUCCAGUAAGAAACGAGAGGGCAGCUUGCUUCGGACUUGAUUGAGGGGACCCACACAAGCCACCUCCUUUAUCUGUGUUUCACGUUGCCCUUCAUCCAUAACGCCAGUUAACCGUGGGUCGUCCUGCUCGUGCAAUCCAACAAGUACUUUGGAUUAAGAUAAAGCUUAUCCAUACGCGAUGCCCAUGAUGAGAAUCUUGUGAAGACGGAUGCAGUUUCUCUGGCCAACCAGAAGGACCUUGUGUGGAGCACAGGGGUGCGUGUGGGGCUCACUGCUAAUACGGAGCGCUUGCAGAGUCUCCGUGCUCACACUGGUCAGCACCGAGGCCACAAACCAUCCACAGUCUCCUGGCUAGGAUCCGAGCACAGCGGCUUCGACCCGAGCUUCAACAAGAGUCUACAUCUUGAACAGGGUGGGGAGGAAAAGAAAGGAUGCAGGAAGGGAGAAGCGAAGCAAAGAAGAAGGAGAAGGCCGAGAGGGAAGAGUUUGUCCCCACAAGGAAUGCCUGUUAUUGGGCUGUUACAGCCUGACUCUGCUGCCCCUCGGCCACCUUGGCCGCAGUCUUCGCUGUGGUCAGGUAGCCUGGCCCUCAUGGCCAGCAGCCUCCCGAGGGACCUGCAGGACCCGGCUGUUUAUUCCCGAGUGCAUUCUGGAUAUCUGUGGGAACGGAAGGCUGGGAGGCCGUGAGACCGCCCUCUGUGUGGGUGGGCAGCUUCCUGUAUCCACACCGUGCUUGUGGGAUGCGAGGGCCAUUUUCGGAGGCUCAGCUCCAACAGAGGAAUUGGAUAUGCCCGCGGCUCUGGGCACUCACUACCUCUGAUGGGAUCAGAGUGCACAAAACUCCCAUAGGAAAAGAACUUUGCCCUUUGUGCUUGAAGAAAGUCUGCUUAAGCUUACUAAUGACUGGGAUUAUCGAGGUCCAUUGGUAAUUUUUCAAGUUACCUGAGCAAGAAAAAAAAAAACAAAAACCACAGUGAUUACAGAAGCCAAGACCCAGCAUCGUCAAGAGCACAUUGGUUAUUUACUUGAACAGGCAGAACUCAGUCCUUUUUAUUCCUGGUUAAACUCCCGUGGCUCUGUAACCAGAUACCUCUGGGCUGGGAGGAGGGGCUGCGCUGGGAGGGAGGGGUUGUCAGGUUGAUGUAAAUGGUCAGAUUUCUGGUUCAGAGAAUUACCAAGACCUGAUGUAAAAAUGCCCACCUUCCUUACGGUUUACUCUUACCACAUCCUCAUUUUUUUUUUUAAAUCCUUGUAUCUCUUUGUGUUUUUAUAUCCAGAUUCACAAAGUGGCUAAUCUUAGGGCUACAUGAGAUCGCAAAAUGCCCUGCCUCCCUGUUCUUUUUUUUUAAUGUUUUUUUAUUAUAUUAUGUUAGUCACCAUACAGUACAUCCCUGGUUUCUGAUGUAAAGCUCGAUGAUUCAUUAGUUGUGUAUAACACCCAGUGCACCAUGCAAUAUGUGCCCUCCUUACUACCCAUCACCGGUCUAUCCCAUUCCCCCACCCCCCUCCCCUCUGAAGCCCUCAGUUUGUUUCUCAUAGUCCAUAGUCUCUCAUGCUUCAUUCCCCUUCUGAUUACCUGCCUCCCUGUUCUAUCACUGUUCGGCUUUCAUGGAGAACAGGGGAACUGCCCACAAACAAGGGCAUUAUAAUAGUCCUUUGGGAAGAUCUGCCUUUGUUCUAAUGAUUU
rnacentral:lncRNA from 1 species